rnacentral:rRNA from 1 species
CGAGUGAAGCGGCAAAAGCUCAAAUUUGAAAUCUGGCCUCUUCGGUGUCCGAGUUGUAAUUUGAAGAAGGUAACUUUGGAGUUGGUUCUUGUCUAUGUUCCUUGGAACAGGACGUCACAGAGGGUGAGAAUCCCGUGGGAUGAGAUGCCCAGUUCUUUGUAAAGUGCUUUCGAAGAGUCGAGUUGUUUGGGAAUGCAGCUCUAAGUGGGUGGUAAAUUCCAUCUAAAGCUAAAUAUUGGCGAGAGACCGAUCGCGAACAAGUACAGUGAUGGAAAGAUGAAAAGAACUUUGAAAAGAGAGUGAAAAAGUACGUGAAAUUGUUGAAAGGGAAGGGCAUGUGAUCAGACUUGGUGUUUUGCUCCCCUUUCCUUCGGUGGGCAGUUCUCAUUACUUUUUCGGGCCACCCCCGGAAUGUAUGGCGGCAUGAUGACAGUGGAAUGUGGCGUUAUAUCCCGGCAAUGUUGUACUGAGGGUUGAUACUGCCCUGCUAGAUCUGGGACUGAUGCUUUUACGUCGGCGCUGCUGCAACGGUGUUCAACGCCCCCCAU